AGGUUGGCUCAGAAGCAGCCAUCCUUUAAAGAGUGCGUAACAGCUCACUAGUCGAGUGACCCUGCGCCGAAAAUGUACCGGGGCUAAGCCUGAUACCGAAACUGCGGAUUGUAGGAAACUAUAGUGGUAGGGGAGCGUUGUAUACGAGUGGAAGCCGUACCGUGAGGAGCGGUGGAUUGUAUAGAAGUGAGAAUGCCGGUGUGAGUAGCGAGAUGUAGGUGAGAAUCCUACACACCGAAAGCCCAAGGAUUCCAGGGGAAGGUUCGUCCGCCCUGGGUAAGUCGGGACCUAACGCGAGGCCGAAAGGCGUAGUGGAUGGAAAGCAGGCGAAAGAUUCCUGCACCCGUAUAUGGAGCGAAGGAGUGACGGAGACGGAUAGUGUGACCCUCUUAAUGGAUUGAGGGCGAAGCGAAGCGGCUGGUUACCAGGCAAAUCCGGUAACCAUAAGGCUAGAGCGUGAUAGGUAAGCGAAAUCUUAGGAGAGUAGCGAAGCACAUGAUGACGGCUUCCAGGAAAAGCUUCUGGCAAUGCAUAUGCGGCCCGUACCAAAACCGACACAGGUGGGCAGGGAGAGAAUCCCGAGGUGAGCGAGAGAACUGUUGCCAAGGAACUCGGCAAAAUGACUCCGUAAGUUAGCGAGAAGGAGUGCUUAAGCAAUUAAGCCGCAGUGAAGAGGCCCAAGCGACUGUUUAACUAAAACACAGCUCUCUGCGAAGUCGCAAGACGAAGUAUAGGGGGUGACACCUGCCCGGUGCUGGAAGGUUAAGAGGAUCUGUUAAGAGCGAUCUGAAGCAGUGAUCCGAAGCCCCAGUGAACGGCGGCCGUAACUAUAACGGUCCUAAGGUAGCGAAAUUCCUUGUCAGGUAAGUUCUGACCCGCACGAAAGGUGUAACGAUUUGGGCGCUGUCUCGGCAGCAGACUCGGUGAAAUCUUAGUACCUGUGAAAAUGCAGGUUACCCGCAACUAGACGGAAAGACCCCAUGGAGCUUUACUGCAGCCUGAUAUUGAAUUCUGGUCAUACAUGUACAGGAUAGGUGGGAGACAAAGAGACGUGCACGCCAGUGUACGAGGAGUCGACGUUGGGAUACCACUCUUGUGUGACCGGGGUUCUAACCUGGUAUCGAAAACAGGUACGGGGAGAGUGUCAGGUGGGCAGUUUGACUGGGGCGGUCGCCUCCCAAAGAGUAACGGAGGCGCCCAAAGGUACGCUCAGAUUGGAUGGAAACCAAUCGACGAGUGCAAUUGCAGAAGCGUGCUUGACUGUGAGACUUACAAGUCGAACAGGGACGAAAGUCGGGAAUAGUGAUCCGGCGGUGCCGAAUGGAAGGGCCGUCGCUCAACGGAUAAAAGCUACCCUGGGGAUAACAGGCUGAUCUCGCCCAAGAGUUCACAUCGACGGCGAGGUUUGGCACCUCGAUGUCGGCUCAUCGCAUCCUGGAGCUGAAGUCGGUUCCAAGGGUUGGGCUGUUCGCCCAUUAAAGCGGUACGCGAGCUGGGUUCAGAACGUCGUGAGACAGUUCGGUCCCUAUCUGUUGUGGGCGAAGGAGAUCUGCGGAGAGCUGUCCUCAGUACGAGAGGACCGGGAUGGACCUACCGCUGGUGCACCGGUUGUUCCGCCAGGGGCAUAGCCGGGUAGCUAAGUAGGGAAAGGAUAAGCGCUGAAAGCAUCUAAGCACGAAGCCUACUCCAAGAUGAGAUCUCCCAUUCGCAAGAAGUAAGACCCCUUAAAGACGAUAAGGUAGAUAGGCCAGAGAUGGAAGUGCAGUGAUGUACGGAGUUGACUGGUACUAAUCGGUCGAGGACUUAAUC
rnacentral:rRNA from 1 species